AUACGUAGGGGGCGAGCGUUGUCCGGAAUGAUUGGGCGUAAAGGGCGCGUAGGCGGCCUGUUAAGUCUGGAGUGAAAGUCCUGUUUUCAAGAUGGGAAUUGCUUUGGAUACUGAUGGGCUUGAGUGCAGGAGAGGUUAUCGGAAUUCCCGGUGUAGCGGUGAAAUGCGUAGAGAUCGGGGGGAACACCAGUGGCGAAGGCGGGUAACUGGACUGCAACUGACGCUGAGGCGCGGAAGUGUGGGGAGCAAACAGGAUUAGAUACCCUGGUAGUCCACACUGUAAACGAUGAAUGCUAGGUGUAGGGGGUAUCGACCCCUUCUGUGCCGCAGUUAACACAAUAAGCAUUCCGCCUGGGGAGUACGGCCGCAAGGUUGAAACUUAAAGGAAUUGACGGGG
rnacentral:rRNA from 1 species